CAAGCCUCUUGCUGAAGGUGAUCUGGCUUCCCAACCCACACCCAGGACUGAGGCUCUGGAAGAUGGUGAGGGUGUGUCUGCAGGGAGGACUCUCCCAGCUCCUGGGUUGGUUGCUGCACACAAGCCUGGCUCCCAUCACAGGGGUCCUCCAAGAGGAAAUACCAAAGCUACAGGAGUUAUGAAACCCCAUGAGCCAUCCAAACCCAUGAGGCAAAUGCUGAAGAAAAUUCUGCAGGAAGGACAAGGUGGGUCCAUGUCCCUCAGCCUUCUCCUGAGACUCAGCAGCCGGGGGCUUUCUCUGCAU